AGGCCAGCUCUUCCUCCCUAAAGGCACAGUGGGAAAUACAUCUCCCAACCUCUGGCAUCACCACCACUCUUUGCAACAAUACCCGAAGAAAGCUAUAAGUAAAGACUUGGAUUCAGCUGGAUCAUCAUCAUCAAAUCAUGACUAGAAUACGACAAAGGUUUUUUAUCACAGUACAUGGAUUGAUCAGCUCAUCUGUGCCAAGACGUCUAUACAGUAUUAGGUAAAAGAAAGGUCUUCAAGAUGGCUGACUAAUGAGAGGGACAGGACACCCAAGCAGCAACCGAAUGGCCUCCUCAAAGGGAGCAGCAGUUGCAAAAUUCCAGAGCAUGUGAACCAAGAUAUGAGACAGACAGAGAGACGGAGUGAGUACCAGCCUGGUGUAACAGACAACACAGCCUUACCUGACACAGUCCCAAGAGGAAUGCUGGAGUACAAGUUCCACUUCUGUGGAGUUUUUGUGAGUUUGCACACAGCAGAUUAAGCAUGAAUUGAAAC